UGUUCUAGAUUCACUAGGCCUUUUGUUA
rnacentral:sRNA from 1 species